AUGUCUGUGCUCCAGCAGCCUGCUUCUGAGUCAGCCCAGCCAGGAGAUUCUGUGACUCUGAACUGUACAAUACACACUGAGACCUGUGCAGGAGAACACAGUGUCUAUUGGUUCAGACAUGGCUCAGGAGAAUCCCGUCCAGGAAUCAUUUACACCCAUGGAUACAGGAGUGAUCAGUGUGAGAAGAGCGCUGAGGCUGGGUCUCCUACACAGAGCUGUGUCUACAACCUCCCCAAGAGGAACCUCAGCUUUUCUGAUGCUGGCACUUAUUACUGUGCUGUGACCUCAUGUGGGGAGAUACUGUUUGGGAAUGGGACCAAGCUGGACAUUCAAGCUGUCAGUUUCACCCCCAAGAAGAAGUCCUCCUCUAGAAGAGUGAGAGAGAAGACCAGCAGAGAGGAUGCAGUGUACUCUGAUGUCAGAUACCUUCAGCAGCAGUGA